GAUCCUGGCUCAGAUUGAACGCUGGCGGCAUGCUUUACACAUGCAAGUCGAACGGUAACAGGUUAAGCUGACGAGUGGCGAACGGGUGAGUAAUGCAUCGGAACGUGCCCAGUCGUGGGGGGAUAACGCAGCGAAAGCUGUGCUAAUACCGCAUACGAUCUAUGGAUGAAAGCGGGGGACCGUAAGGCCUCGCGCGAUUGGAGCGGCCGAUGUCAGAUUAGCUAGUUGGUGGGGUAAAGGCCCACCAAGGCGACGAUCUGUAGCUGGUCUGAGAGGACGACCAGCCACACUGGAACUGAGACACGGUCCAGACUCCUACGGGAGGCAGCAGUGGGGAAUUUUGGACAAUGGGCGCAAGCCUGAUCCAGCAAUGCCGCGUGCAGGAAGAAGGCCUUCGGGUUGUAAACUGCUUUUGUACGGAACGAAACGGUCUGGGCUAAUACCCCGGGCUAAUGACGGUACCGUAAGAAUAAGCACCGGCUAACUACGUG
rnacentral:rRNA from 1 species